rnacentral:tRNA from 1 species
ACUCAAUUAGUAUAUAAAGUAUAUAAAGCUUCCAACUUUAAGGAUUAAAUCUAAAUUGAGUA